AGAGAGAGACAUGCGCGCAUAUCAAUAAGCGGAGGAAAAGAAACUAACAAGGAUUCCCUUAGUAACGGCGAGUGGAGCGGGAAGAGCUCAAAUUUGAAAUCUUCAAGGUUUCACCUUGACGAAUUGUAGUUUAAAGAAGUGUUUUCUGCUGAAGUUUUGGUAAAAGUUCUUUGGAAUAGGACAUCAUAGAGGGCGAGAAUCCCGUAUUUGACCAUUAUUUUCAGCUUUGUGAUACACUUUCAAAGAGUCGGAUUGUUUGGGAAUGCAGUCCAAAAUGGGUGGUAAAUUUCAUCUAAAGCUAAAUAUUGGCGAGAGACCGAUAGCGAACAAGUACCGUGAGGGAAAGAUGAAAAGAACUUUGAAAAGAGAGUUAAACAGUACGUGAAAUUGUCAAAAGGGAAGCGUUUGACACCAGUGUUGUUUUCUCGAAAAUCAAUUAAAAAUGGCUCGAUUUUGUAUUGCUUGAGACCUUAAAAGCUCACUGUACAUUUUUCGUGUCUUUUUUAAUGCACUUUUCGUUUAACAAGUCAACAUCAGUUUCUUUUGUUGUAAAAGGGUCAUUGGAAGGUGGCUUUCUUUUCGGAGAAAGUGUUUAUAGCCUUUGGCCUCUGCAAUCGGAGAGACUGAGGUCUGCAGCGUAGACUCUUCGGGGUUAGAUACAUUUGUGCUAAGUUAUAGCUUUUUAUAGACAACUUGUUGACUAUAAUUAGUCUUGUAGCUUACUCGCUUAUGCUAUUUUACCUACGCUUAGGAUGUUGAGUCGUAGAGCACGCAG
rnacentral:rRNA from 1 species